AAUAAUCAUUAGGUUUUAUUGUAUCAUCGAAAUUCAUUUGCCAAUAACUCUUUUACACAUCAUAAUAGUUAAGAACGAAUAACACCUUUAAAAAAUAAUACUAAUACACGUCUUAAAGCUUUCGCUAGUUUUUCAUACAAACAAUUAAUAGGUCCAACACGUUACCACAACGGUUACAAUCCCUAAUGCCUGGCUUCCCUCUUGCAGCUCCAUCUGUUUUAAACUUGAGAAAACCUUGAGCUGGAGGCGUCCAACAGAUAUCGAACUGCUUUAACAGGAGUAGCCGAGAAGCAAAGCAGUGGGCAAUCCCAUCAAGCUGACUCCAUAACAAGUAAUUUAUCGUCUGCAGCCUUGAUCCAAACUACCCGUUUUCUCGGGCUGAUUCCAAGAGGAAUACCAAGAUAUUUAAGGGGGAACAAGCCAAGGCAACACCCAAAAGCAUCAGCAAGGCUGUUAGAAACAUUAUCCCCGAUUCCAAUCCCAAUUAAAACAGACUUGCUAUAAUUAAUCCCAAGUCCUAAAAAGAGCUCUAAACAACUAAGGAGAAUCUUCAAAUUAUGAUUAUAAUCCAACUUAGCUUCAAGGAAAAUAAUUGUGUCAUCCACAACUUGGAGGUGAGAAAUCGACGAUCCAGGGAUAACAUUAUCUUCGGCCUCUUUCAUCAUCACAUGAAAAGCUUCAGUAAUCAAAAUGAAUAGAAAAUAUGAUCAAGGAUCACCUUUGACGAAGCCCUCGCAUCAUUCGGAAUUGACUCGUCGAUGAACCGUUAACCAAAACUGAUACAUUUUCCAACACCCACAUUCUCCACUUAUU
rnacentral:lncRNA from 1 species